rnacentral:rRNA from 1 species
GGUCAAGUGAAUAAGAGCAUAAGGCGAAUGCCUUGGCACCGGAAGCCGAUGAAGGACGUGACAAGCUGCGAAAAGCUGCGGUAAGGAGCAAAUAUCCGUUAACCCGCAGAUCUCCGAAUGAGGAAACUCACCUGUGGUAAUGCGCAGGUACCACCGCCUGAAUAAAAUAGGGCGGUUGGAGGAAACGGGGGGAACUGAAACAUCUAAGUACCCCUAGGAAAAGAAAGAAACAUCGAUUCCCUAAGUAGCGGCGAGCGAAAGGGGAAGAGCCCAAACCCGACGUCUAUCCAUAGAGAUUAUGGGAAGACAAGCUCAGAAGAUCCCGAGAGGGAGAAAUGAGCGAGCGAGCCAUGAUCGUUAUGGUUAGGCGCCGGGGGUUGCGGGCCGCCAAUAUGUAUCCUGAAACAUAGCCGAACAGGACUGGAAAGUCCGGCGAUACGAGGUAACAGCCCCGUAGGCGAAAUGAGAAGGGAGCUAGGCGGUACCAGAGUAGUGCCGGACACGUGUAACCCGGCAUGAAACAGGGGGGCCCACCCCCCAAGGCUAAAUACGAACCGGUGACCGAUAGCGAAUAGUACCGUGAGGGAAAGGUGAAAAGAACCCCGGGAGGGGAGUGAAAUAGAAUCUGAAACCUUAUGCUUACAAGCAGAGGGAGCAAGGGCUAAGGCCUAAGUGACCUUGUACUUUUUGUAGAACGGGCCAACGAGUUAUGGUGUGCGGCAAGGUUAAGGUGUAAAGCACCGGAGCCGAAGCGAAAGCGAGUCUUAAACGGGCGAAGUUGCCUCGGUACCCAAGUUGCGUGAACAAAGCGGCGAGAUGUGUUGUUGCCACGAGAUGUCAAAAAAUUUUGGCAUACCGGGUCGUAUGGCAACAUUUUUUGGCGCAUUGUGGCGGCAAGACAGCCGUCGCGACUUUACGAUACUUGGGUAUCGAGGCAACACAAGUCGUAUGCUGUAGACCCGAAACCGGGUGACCUAUCCAUGUGCAGGUUGAAGCGGGAGUAAAAUCUCGUGGAGGACCGAACCCAUGUCUGUUGAAAAAGGCUGGGAUGACGUGUGGA